rnacentral:rRNA from 1 species
CGCCUACGGGGGGCAGCAGUCGGGAAUAUUGCGCAAUGGAGGAAACUCUGACGCAGUGACGCCGCGUAUAGGAAGAAGGUUUUCGGAUUGUAAACUAUUGUCGUGAGGGAAGAAAUUGACUGUACCUCAGGAGGAAGCUCCGGCUAACUAUGUGCCAGCAGCCGCGGUAAUACGUAGGUGGCAAGCGUUGUCCGGAAUUACUGGGUGUAAAGGGAGCGUAGGCGGGAAGCCAAGUCAGCUGUGAAAACUACGGGCUUAACCUGUAGACUGCAGUUGAAACUGGCUUUCUU